rnacentral:rRNA from 1 species
UACAGAGGUGGCAAGCGUUGUUCGGAAUUACUGGGCGUAAAGGGCGCGUAGGCGGUUCGUUAAGUCCUGUGUGAAAUCCCCCGGCUCAACUGGGGAACUGCACAGGAAACUAGCGGGCUUGAGUUCGGGAGAGGGAAGCGGAAUUCCGGGUGUAGCGGUGAAAUGCGUAGAUAUCAGGAAGAACACCCGUGGCGAAGGCGGCUCUCUGGGACGGUACUGACGCUGAGACGCGAAAGCGUGGGGAGCGAACAGG